GAUAGCGUUACCAAGGCAGAUGUGGGUGUUAAAACCCAAUACAUGUUUUAGUUGCUUUUUUCUCCCCCCCCCAUCCUGUUCCCCAUGCAGCCCAACAUGGCAAGCUCCCCAAAGGGGCUGUGCUAACAAACGCAGCCGAAGACAGCCAUGUGAUGUUAACAUAAACCUCCUCUGUCAGCUUGGAGAGGCACCAGGAAACGGCCCCAGGAAUGCUUUUUGCAGCGCCUGUCUCUGCUCGGUGCCACGCGGUGGCAUUUGUCAGGCGCGGCUCUGCGGAGGGCGCAGACCCUCUUCCCCCUGUCUGGGUCACCGCACCACGUGGCGUGUUGUGUCUGAGCACAUCGGGGACGUUUUGAUUAGAAAGAAGGAGGAAAAAAGCGAUUCUGGGUUACAAAAACCAAGGCCAAAGCCAUUUCGGGUCCUUCCGGUUCAUCCAUAAGGAUCCAGCCGUGGCAGAAGGGAUGCUUGGAUCAUGAUGAACUAAAGAACCGCAGCUCUCUUCUCAUUUCAAGGGUAAUUUCUCUUUGAGUUCCUCAUGAAAAACACCACACUGGGGUAAAUACAGAGAGCAGGGGCUCAGGGAUAUUCUUAUUUGGGAUCAUUCUGGUUUAGAAAGGAAGAAAAAUGAUUUGAAAGUUUGAUGCAUUUUCUCUGUGGUCGUGCAUUUUCAGUGUGUGUUUCACUGAAUUCGCCCUUUUUUUUUUACUAUUUAAUUUUUCUUAUACAUAUUUAAUUUCAUUUUCUGGUUUUUAUGAAGUCCCUCAAUGUGUUUUUGUGGUGAGCUGCCAUGGUAUUACCAAUGCGUCUGAAAUACUGCAGACAGAAAGACAGCCACUUGAAAGCAGUAAUGAGCGGACUGCUGAACCUCUGAAAGUAUCUGGGUGCGUUCGGCAUGAUGUUCACACUUCGCUGACCUUGCAGAAGCCUUGGAGGAGCUGCAGUUUCGGAGCUAGUUCUGCACAGUAAGAGGCUCCCCAGUGAGAGAACACUGACACUUAUACCAGGCACAACAUUAGCUGCAUGCUCUUAGCAUGGAGGCAUGCGGAGCAAACAAUGAAUCAAGGCUGUUUAUAAAGCCUUCAACACAUUAGGCAGUGGAGAAGAGCCCAAGUUUCCACGUAAAGGUCUGAAUGGACAAGAAUGACGUGAAACACAUGGAAAAUGUGGAAUAAGUAAUAAAAUUAUAAAUAAAACAAAUACAAUAAAUUGGGAA